GCAGGUGUAGUUCAAUGGUAGAACUUCAGCUUCCCAAGCUGGCCACGGGGGUUCGAUUCCCCUCACUUGCU
rnacentral:tRNA from 1 species